CCGGUGUGGAUUGCCGUUUACUCACAUGCCAAUCUUAAUUUCUAUCACCCUGGAACCACAGUAUUAGUUGCGUUUCUUUUCUAAAAGUUGAAAUUUGUUUACUUUUUACCUCACAAAAUUCGAAUCGUUGACUGGUUUACGCAAUUGUCUUGUGAAGGCUAGACGUAACCAAUGUCAUAUCUUCGCUGAAAUUGUUUGGUUUGGUGUAAUCAGCAGUUCGAAUACAAUAUGAAAGAAGAUUCUGUUUAACUCAUGUUUGACGUUGCAAAUUAGAAGUGAUUGCAUUUGAGGUCUAUUUGUGAUUUGUUAGCGAACCGUUAUACACAGAAAGCAAUUAAGGAUCAUAAUAUAGAUCUGAAGGAGAUUGAAAAAAACCAUCUUGGUUCUAAUGAAGAACAGAAGGUUCCACCACCAAAAAAUAGCUGACACAUAAUGAGGAGCCUCUGCAGUUUACUUUCUCCAUGUUCCGUUCUGCAGUGGGUGCCACAGCGUAAGAUACAAUUCGGCUGUAGCAAUGAGAUUGCUGAGAGCCAGUGGCAUAGUGAUGUUACAGACGUUUGAUAUAUACAGGUUAAAUUAUAAGGAAGCUGUAUUAAUGUCUUUACCUUUCACUCCACAUUGUUGUUGCAGUAAAUAUUGUGUAGAAUG